UGAGGAAUAUUGGUCAAUGGACGAAAGUCUGAACCAGCCAUGCCGCGUGAAGGAAUAAGGCCCUAUGGGUCGUAAACUUCUUUUGUAUGUGAGCAAUAAGGUCCACGCGUGGUCCGAUGAGAGUAGCAUACGAAUAAGCAUCGGCUAACUCCGUGCCAGCAGCCGCGGUAAUACGGAGGAUGCGAGCGUUAUCCGGAUUCAUUGGGUUUAAAGGGUGCGUAGGUGGCCUUUUAAGUCAGCGGUGAAAGUUUGUGGCUCAACCAUAAAAUUGCCGUUGAAACUGGAGGGCUUGAGUAUGUUUGGGGCAGGCGGAAUGUGUGGUGUAGCGGUGAAAUGCAUAGAUAUCACGCAGAACUCCGAUCGCGAAGGCAGCUUGCCAAGCCAUAACUGACACUGAAGCACGAAAGUGUGGGUAUCAAACAGGAUUAGAUACCCUGGUAGU
rnacentral:rRNA from 1 species